rnacentral:rRNA from 1 species
CUUCUCGAAUCGCAUGGCCUUGCGCCGGCGAUGGUUCAUUCAAAUUUCUUCCCUAUCAACUUUCGAUGUUUGGGUAGUGGCCAAACAUGGUUGCAACGGGUAACGGAGGGUUAGGGCUCGACCCCGGAGAAGGAGCCUGAGAAACGGCUACUACAUCCAAGGAAGGCAGCAGGCGCGCAAAUUACCCAAUCCCGACACGGGGAGGUAGUGACAAUAAAUACUGAUACAGGGCUCUUUUGGGUCUUGUAAUUGGAAUGAGUACAAUUUAAAUCCCUUAACGAGGAACAAUUGGAGGGCAAGUCUGGUGCCAGCAGCCGCGGUAAUUCCAGCUCCAAUAGCGUAUAUUAAAGUUGUUGUGGUUAAAAAGCUCGUAGUUGAACCUUGGGCCUGGCUGGCCGGUCCGCCUCACCGCGUGUACUGGUCCGGCCGGGCCUUUCCCUCUGUGGAACCCCAUGCCCUUC